GACGAACGCUGGCGGCGUGCUUAACACAUGCAAGUCGAACGGUGAAGCUCCAGCUUGCUGGAGUGGAUCAGUGGCGAACGGGUGAGUAACACGUGAGCAACCUGCCCCUGACUCUGGAAUAAGCGCUGGAAACGGCGUCUAAUACUGGAUACGAGAAGGGUCCGCAUGGGCACCUUCUGGAAAGUUUUUCGGUUGGGGAUGGGCUCGCGGCCUAUCAGCUUGUUGGUGAGGUAAUGGCUCACCAAGGCGACGACGGGUAGCCGGCCUGAGAGGGCGACCGGCCACACUGGGACUGAGACACGGCCCAGACUCCUACGGGAGGCAGCAGUGGGGAAUAGUGCACAAUGGGCGAAAGCCUGAUGCAGCGACGCCGCGUGAGGGAUGACGGCCUUCGGGUUGUAAACCUCUUUCAGCAGGGAAGAAGCGAAAGUGACGGUACCUGCAGAAGAAGCACCGGCUAACUACGUG
rnacentral:rRNA from 1 species